CGGGAAGUCCACCUCCUUUGAAUUCCAGGAAACAGCUCAUCUCAAAGGUCCAUUCUCCGUAUGAGUUAGAAAUAAGAGUGCUCUGGUCCAAGAAGGUGAUGGAGGAAGACGCUGAAGUCCCCUCCUCCAUGGAGACACCAAAUCUACACCUAUUUAUAGAACAAUUCCUUCUGAAGCCGAACUAAGUGCUGACUGAACACCUUCUGCGGAACGGAAGACAGGCCAUGAAGAGAAUGGCAAGAGAGAUGAAAAGAAGGACUUGACUCCUUCUGGUCUCCGCAUGGGCUCUCGGGCCCCACAAGAACUCAGAGCAUGGAGGAUGUCCAUCUGGCACCUGGUGGUCCUGGGGUACUUUUCCUGCACCAAAUGUCUGGUCAUGAGCUUCCUGGCCUCCCACAGGUGAAGAGUUUCCUCCCAGCCUACAGCGCCAUUAUGUUCAGGAAUUCUUAGAUCUGUUCCUCAGCGGAGCGGUAGCCCUUCCUGGUCAUGCCCAGGAGAGUCAUCCAGAGAUGAGUCUCGGGCAGUCGCUGCCACCAUUUAAGCUCCCGUCACUGGUGACACCCAGUUUGCUGACAAGGCCAUAGAAAUGCUCGGCAGAGUGCAUGUCUUUGAACUUAAGGCAAAAGACUACCUGCCAAGUGUUCAGAGGCAUUCUAGAAGGCCACAAGCAAGAGUUCUUUGUAUUCUUUUCAGCAUGUCUGCCUUCGUCAUGACUGUUCAUUUUAUAUUUGAGCAAGAGGGACUAUACCAACAACGUUACCUUCUUGCUGGGAAGGUCUCGGCGUGACUAUGCACACCGACAUCUACCAGUCAUGUGUGUGUCUGCGAGCACGCAUCCAUGCUCAAGGGUUGCUGAAAAGAAAUACUGGCCUUACCAAUGUGAUUUACUGUGAUAUUUGCUAAUUCGAAGCCAUACACUAAAUUCAAAUAAUAAUAAAGUCUCGUACUUAC